AUGAAAUAAAAUGCGAGGACGGUAUUUGUAUUUGCUAAAAAGAAGCAAAAC
rnacentral:sRNA from 1 species